AAGGAAUAUUGGACAAUGGUGGCAACACUGAUCCAGCCAUGCCGCGUGCAGGAUGACGGCCCUAUGGGUUGUAAACUGCUUUUGUACGGGAAAAAACCCUCGUUCGUGAACGAGGCUGAUGGUACCGUAAGAAUAAGGAUCGGCUAACUCCGUGCCAGCAGCCGCGGUAAUACGGAGGAUCCAAGCGUUAUCCGGAUUUAUUGGGUUUAAAGGGUGCGUAGGCGGAUUAAUAAGUCAGUGGUGAAAGCCUACAGCUUAACUGUAGAAUUGCCAUUGAUACUGUUAGUCUUGAGUAUAUUUGAAGUGGGCGGAAUGUGCAGUGUAGCGGUGAAAUGCUUAGAUAUUGCACAGAACACCGAUUGCGAAGGCAGCUCACUAAACUAUAACUGACGCUGAGGCACGAAAGUAUGGGGAUCAAAC
rnacentral:rRNA from 1 species